AAAUUUUUAAUUUAAUUGAAAAUAUUUCAUUUACAUUGAAAUUAUAUUAUUGUAUAAUAUUAAAAUUUU
rnacentral:tRNA from 1 species